UACGUAGGGUGCAAGCGUUGUCCGGAAUUAUUGGGCGUAAAGAGCUCGUAGGCGGUUUGUUGCGUCGGCUGUGAAAUCCCGAGGCUCAACCUCGGGUCUGCAGUCGAUACGAGCAAACUAGAGUGUUGCAGGGGAGACUGGAAUUCCUGGUGUAGCGGUGAAAUGCGCAGAUAUCAGGAGGAACACCGGUGGCGAAGGCGGGUCUCUGGGCCGAAACUGACGCUGAGGAGCGAAAGCGUGGGGAGCAAACAGG
rnacentral:rRNA from 1 species